rnacentral:rRNA from 1 species
UGGGGAAUUUUGGACAAUGGGGGAAACCCUGAUCCAGCCAUCCCGCGUGUGCGAUGAAGGCCUUCGGGUUGUAAAGCACUUUUGGCAGGAAAGAAACGUCAUGGGUUAAUACCCCGUGAAACUGACGGUACCUGCAGAAUAAGCACCGGCUAACUACGUGCCAGCAGCCGCGGUAAUACGUAGGGUGCAAGCGUUAAUCGGAAUUACUGGGCGUAAAGCGUGCGCAGGCGGUUCGGAAAGAAAGAUGUGAAAUCCCAGAGCUCAACUUUGGAACUGCAUUUUUAACUACCGGGCUAGAGUGUGUCAGAGGGAGGCGGAAUUCCGCGUGUAGCAGUAAAAUGCGUAGGUAUGCGGAGGAACACCGAUGGCGAAGGCAACCUCCUGGGAUAACACUGACGCUCAUGCACGAAAGCGUGGGGAGCAAACAGG